UCAAAUUCAAGAUGGAUGGAAUCACGGCGGCAGCGGCGGCGGCUGCGGGCUGCGCGAGCCGAGCGUGAGAGGAAGGGGAUCCGGCGGCUGCCCGGGGGCUGAAGAGCGGUAUCAGAGAGUGGCCAAAGGGCAAAGGAAAGAGAAUCACUUUCUGCCUGAGGAGACCUGGCUGGCAUCACCCCAACCUAAGGAGGCAAUGUAUGAAGACAAGCAAGUGUGAGAGUGUGGAUCACAAGUGCCAUGAUCCUAUGCUGGACAUCAGGAGUGUCAGAAGUGAUGUAUUGGACCUUAAGGAGCUUGCAGUCCUGGUGGAACACACAGCCAACUAGCAUAUGACAGUGUGUGUAUGCUCUGUGUGGCAAAGGAAUUGGCAGGAGGCAUUUGCCCUUUUUUUUUUUUUUUUUUUUUUUUUUGAC
rnacentral:lncRNA from 1 species